GCUGCGGUUAAAAGGCUCGCAGUUGGAGCCACUGGUGUUUGGUAUAUGGAGCAGCUGGACGUUGGUUGCCUUCGUGCUCCCGUCCUGCUUGUCUGUUCCUGACUCUAUGGCACUGAAUAUGGAAAAACCUCCUCUGGUUCGGGCAUCUACUCAGAGUGCUUGGGUGGAGGUAUGUGUCUGGGGCCGUGGGCGUGCGUUUCGUGCGUGCGUUCUCGUGCUUGAGCGCUUCCUCUGUUGCUCACCUCUGUGCUCUUACUCGGAGGGGGUGACUUCUGUGUCACCUUGAGUAAAUCAUGGUGCUCACAGCAGUCGUGCGGGCCCUGUGCCCUGUGAACAGUCUAUGCGGACUGAAUUGGUUUUGCAAGGCAUGACGAAACAUGACGUCGCUGCUGGUCGCGAGUGUGAGGGCGUAGUCCUCGUGGCUGCGCCGAGCGGUUUGCCAGUAGUGACGUAAUGAUCAAUGGAGACGGUAGCUGGCAUUGGUAUUGCGCGGCGAGAGGUGAAAUUCUGCGACCCCCGCAAGACCUCCUAAAGCGAAGGCGUCUGCCAAGGACGUGUUCACCAAUCAUGAACGAAAGUCAGAGGAUCGAAGGCGAUCAGAUACCGCCCUAGUUCUGACCCUAAACGAUGCCAACCAUCAAUCCGCGUGAGCACCCUAUCUAACGGGCUCGGCGGGCAGCUCCCUUCUUCCGGGAAACCAGAGUUUUUGGGUUCCGGGGGGAGUCUGGUUGCAAAGCUGAAACUUAAAGGAAUUGACGGAAAGGCACCACCAGGCGUGGAGCCUGCGGCUUAAUUUGACCCAACACGGGCCAUCUUACCAGGCCAGCACUCUGGCAUGAUUGACAGAUUGAGAGCUCUUUCUCGAUUCAGUGGACGGUGGUGCAUGGCCGUUCUUAGUUGGUGGAGUGAUCUGUCUGGUUAAUUCCGAUAACGAACGAGACUCUCCUCUGCUAAAUAGUCGGCUGGAUCUUGAAUUGCUGAGUUGCUCUUUGCCUCGUUCGCGCGUUUCUGCGCUCACGCGUUUUGCGGUCGCCGCUUUGGCUUCACGGCCGGGCGGUGGUGCCUUGCGGGCGCGUGUUUGUGUGGUGCGUUGCGGGCGUGUGUCUUUGGCACUCCAAGUCCGUCGGCUCACACCCGCUGUUGCGGGUUGUGUGGUACAAGUUCUUCUUAGAGAGAUUGACGGCUCUGAAGCCGUACGAGAAUGAGAGCAAUAACAGGUCUGUGAUGCCCUCAGAUGCCCUGGGCCGCACGCGCGCUACAAUGCUGGACACAGCAGGUCUAGCCUGCUCCGAGAGGAGCGGGUAACCCUGUCAAAGUCCUGAGUUGUGUAUCGAGCAUCACUUCGUGGUGCAUUGGGCGUGCUUGGGCCUGGGGCUUGCAAUUCUUUCCCACAAACAAGGAAUGCCUUGUAGUGGCGAGUCACUGAGCUCGCUGUGACUCAGUCCCUGCCCUUUGUACACACCGCCCGUCGCUACUACCGAUUGGGUGUACCAGUGAGAACCUUGGACUGGCGUCCGGCGCCUCGCGCACCUGGGUCUGACGGAAAGAGGUUCGAACUGGUGCACUUAGAGGAAGUAAAAGUCGUAACAAGGUUUCCGUAGGUGAACCUGCGGAAG
rnacentral:rRNA from 1 species